UCUGUUCCUAAAUGUAAGACG
rnacentral:miRNA from 1 species